GUAUAGGGGGUGAAUUCUGCCCAAUGGUUGUAUAGUGAAACCGAGGAUUAACGUCCGAGGCUAAGCCCAAUUGAAUGGCCGCGGUAUACCUGACCGUGAUAAUGUAGCACAAUAAAUAGCCAAUUAAUUGUUGGCGGGUAUGAAUGGAAUCACGAGGGUCUUACUGUCUCAAGAGGAAAGCCGAUGAAAUUAUAGUUGUAGUGAAGAUACUACAUAGACAUUGUAAGACGAAAAGACCCUAUCGAGCUUUACUGGACACCGACAGUGUUGGCGCGAAAUAACCCGCCCUCUGGGCUAUCGUUUUGAGCUUAACUAUUAGUCGGUCGGACAGUUUAGUUGGGGCGACUACCUUUGAAUAAGAAACGAAGGCGAGCUUAUGGUGUACAGCUAAUCCCAUUAGCCUGACAGUGAGGGGGACACCCCGAGCUGGCACCCCUCCGGGGGGUGGGCGAUAAUGACCCGAUACUAGGACUCCAAAGUCAGUAUCGAAAGCGGACAAAAGCUACCGUAGGGAUAACAGCGUAAUAUCAUUGGAGAGUUCUUAUUGAGGAUGGUGUUUGCGACCUCGAUGUUGAAUUGCGGUGCCCUGGUGCUGUAGAAGGUACCUUGGGUUGGUC
rnacentral:rRNA from 1 species